rnacentral:lncRNA from 1 species
GUUACUUUCAGCCGUGGUCCAGGCACUGUGAAAAAUGCAGAAGCCACACUAGGUGCCCUCUCUCAGGAUUCCCAACCACCUUUACCAAGCAGAGAUGGUAUUCAUCCCACAUUUUUAAUGCUAGAUAUGCUCCCGCCCGGUGCUUCUCUAAUAAUGUUUUUUAAAAGGUUGAGAGCAGAAUUUUAAUAGGCAAAAGAAAGAGAAGAGCUCUCUGCUGCAGACAGGAGUCCUGGAGAAAUGGGUUGCCCUCUUUUUUCUUUUUCUUUUUUUGAGACAGUCUCUCACUGUCACCCAGGCUGGAAUUCAGUGGCGCAUUCGUACCUCGCUGCAGCCUCAACCUCCUAGGCUCAAUCGAUCCUCCCACCUCAGCCUCCCGAGUAGCUGGGACUAUAGAUAUUUAACCAUUUUUCUAUUGAGAUUUGGUCUUCUCCACCACCCACCACAGAUUUUUGUAAUUAGAGGUCAUUUUUCCAAACAAAUGAUUCUUAAGGUCCUGCUGUCUCUGAAUAUUAUUUUU